GGAGGAGAAGAAACUUACGAGGAUUUCCCUAGUAACGAUGAGCAAACUAGGAGAAGCCCAGCUUGGGAAUUAAGUGAUUGUGCCGUCCGAAUUAUAGUCUGGAGAAGCAUCUUCAGUGACGGACCAGGCCUAAGUCCCCUAGAAUGGGGUGCCAAGGAGGGUGAGAGCCUCAUCUAGCCUAGACCCUGUCGCACCACGAGGUGCUUUCAGUGAGUCAGGUUGUUUGGGAAUACAGCCCCAAUUGGGCGGUAAAUUCUGUCCAAAGCUAAAUAGCAGUAAGAGACUGAUAUCGAAUAAGUACCAUGAAUGGAAGAUGAAAAGGACUUUGAAAAGAGAGUCAAACAGUGCUUGAAAUUGUCGAAAGGGAAGUAGAUGGGGGCUGACAAUGCAUACUGGUUGGAUAAGGAAUGACCCUUACUGGGGUCAGUCUACCGCUUAGCUCAGCGUGUGGACCAUUGCGGGCCGCGUCAGAGGCCCAAGCCCAGGUGGUCGAUCCUGCCCGUGGAUACGCCGUCACUGUGGCCAGGGAAGUAGCAUGUGCUGCCUCAGCAUGCCCCUUCGGGGGGUGUCGGCACGCUCUUGGCACCGGCUCGUGGGCUCCCUAUCUGACCCAUCUUGAAACAUGGACCAAGGAGUUAGACAUGUAUGCAAGCUGACGGGCAUGAAAACCUAGAAGGUGCAAGGAAGCUGAUAGGCAGGAUCCUCCCUUGCAUGGUGCACCACUGACUGACCCUGAUCUUCUGUAAAGGGUUUGAGUGGGAGCAUGCCUGUCGGGACCCAAAAGAUAGUGAACUAUGCCUGAGUGAGGCAAAGCUAGAGGAAACUCUGUUAGAGGCCUGCAGUGAUACUGACGUGCAAAUUGUUCGUCUGACUUGGGUAUAGGGGUGAAAGACUAAUCGAACCAUCUUAUAGCUGGUUCCCUUCGAAGUUUCCCUAAGGAUAGCUAGAGCUCGUGUGCAGGUUCUAUCGAGUAAAGCCAAUGAUUUGAGGCAUCGGGGGUGCAACGCCCUUGACCUAUUCUCAAACUUUAAAUAGGUAGGAUGGCAUGGCUGCUUAGGUAAGCUAUGCUAUAGAAUUGAGAGCUCCAAGUGGGCCAUUUUUUAUAAGCAGAACUGGCAAUACGGGUUAAACCGAAAGCCAAGUUAUGGUGCCCAACUGAGCGCUAACCUAGAACCUACAAAGGGUGUUGGUUAAUUAAGACAGUAGGAUGGUAGCCAUAAAAGUCAAAAUCUGCUAAGGAGUGUGUAACAACUCAUCCUG
rnacentral:rRNA from 1 species